rnacentral:rRNA from 1 species
GAUGAACGCUGGCGGCGUGCCUAAUACAUGCAAGUCGAGCGAACAGACGAGGAGCUUGCUCCUCUGACGUUAGCGGCGGACGGGUGAGUAACACGUGGAUAACCUACCUAUAAGACUGGGAUAAUUUCGGGAAACCGGAGCUAAUACCGGAUAAUAUAUUGAACCGCAUUGUUCAAUAGUGAAAGACGGUUUUGCUGUCACUUAUAGAUGGAUCCGCGCCGCAUUAGCUAGUUGGUAAGGUAACGGCUUACCAAGGCAACGAUGCGUAGCCGACCUGAGAGGGUGAUCGGCCACACUGGAACUGGGACACGGUCCAGACUCCUACGGGAGGCAGCAGUAGGGAAUCUUCCGCAGUGGGCGAAAGCCUGACGGAGCAACGCCGCGUGAGUGAUGAAGGUCUUCGGAUCGUAAAACUCUGUUAUUAGGGAAGAACAAAUGUGUAAGUAACUAUGCACGUAUUGACGGUACCUAAUCAGAAAGCCACGGCUAACUACGUG